rnacentral:piRNA from 2 species
UGCCUCCUGAGUGUUGGGAUUAAGGGCA